rnacentral:rRNA from 1 species
UACAGAGGGUGCGAGCGUUGUUCGGAAUUACUGGGCGUAAAGCGCGUGUAGGCGGCAGCGUGUGUCGGGCGUGAAAUCCCACGGCUCAACCGUGGAAGUGCACCCGAAACUGCGCAGCUAGAGUCCUGGAGAGGAAGGCGGAAUACUUGGUGUAGAGGUGAAAUUCGUAGAUAUCAAGUGGAACACCGGUGGCGAAGGCGGCCUUCUGGACAGUGACUGACGCUGAGGCACGAAAGCGUGGGGGAGCAAAAGGG